rnacentral:lncRNA from 1 species
GUGUUCACCUGGAUACUCCCCCUAUCUGAAGCCCCCCGGUUGUGUAUUCUUCGUUGUGGGUUCUUCUAGUUGUGGCAUGUGGGACGCUGCCUCAGCGUGGUCUGAUGAGCAGUGCCAUGUCCGCGCCCAGGAUUUGAACUAACGAAACACUGGGCCGCCUGCAGCGGAGCGCGCGAACUUAACCACUCGGCCACUGGGCCAGCCCCUUAUGCACCAGGAGACAGACUGGAAAAGUGAAGCAAGAUCAGGCUUUGGUGUACACAGAGGUCCUGGCUUCAAAGCCAUCUGUAGCUGUGUAACCUGGGUGUCUGAAGGAGACUGGUAAAAGAGGAUGAUAUGUGGAUGAAGAAGAGGAUCUGACCUCUCCAGGGGGACAAAGCAGAGCUCACAGGGGUGCUAAAUGUUUCGACUGAGCCCUGAACCAUCAUCCACCAUCCACCCAUGUGUCCAUCCAUCCUUCCAUCCACUCAGUCAUUUAACAUGUGUGGAACAUCUGCAAAAUGCCAGAAACUGUGCUAAGGGAUGAAGGAUGAAGAAGUCAUGGUCCUUGUCUUUAAACUUCUAGAUCUGAGCAUCCUCCCCAAGAAACCACCCCAGAUACUCAAAGAGUGACAGGAACCCACCUGAAUUUAGUGCAAGGAAUUAGCGAUGUGACAAGAGAAGGCCUGACUUUUGAUGGAUACGAGAAUAGCUAUUUUCCUCAAGACUUUUGUAAGGUUACAAGUUUACUGGGCUGUCUUUCUUUUUGUUUAAUAACAUUGGUCAGAGGCUGCUUACCUGAUUCAUUCCUGUUGAUUCCUGCCUCUCAAGCCAAGGCUUCAGCUUAAGUAAUGCCUAGCAUUUGAUAAACACCAGGAGCAAAGGACUCAUGCUUUCUAGAAUGCCAAACUUAUCACUAAAUAAAUGUAUAAUGAAGAGAUGCCUGUCUGGCUUGUCAUAGUUGUGGCAUAAUCUUUGUUAGGUUCCAUGAGUAGAAACAAGAAACUCUAGCAGAAAUGCCAGGCCUUCAUCUAUCACUUCCUCUGCAACCAUACCCACCUCCGAGAGAACCUCUUCCUUAAGACUCAGUCCUAGUACCAGGGGCUCCAAGCCUGACCACAGCUGACUGUACCAAGUCAAGCUGGGAGAAUCCCUGUCGCUCCUCAGAAUUUAAGAAAAGAACUCAUAGAUUAAAUAGUUUAAAUUAAUCAGUGUUCAGUGCUUCAACUAGAAGGCUAUGUAAACUCGGGGUUGUGGCUACUUAGGGGGCUACUCUGGUUUACAUGAUAGAUACAUGAGCAGAAAGGCUCAUCUCUGAUAGAGACAAAUGAAGCAGAGAUGAGAAACUACCUACCUCACAACUCUCUAGGUCCUAUGACACCCCGCUAUGAGGCCGGCCACUGGGUUCUCAGUUAU